GGAAUGAUAGCCUAAUGGUUAAGGCACCGUUUUGUCAAGACGGCUUAUGGGGGUUCGAGUCCCCUUCAUUUCG
rnacentral:tRNA from 1 species